rnacentral:rRNA from 1 species
UACGGAGGGUGCAAGCGUUGUUCGGAUUUAUCGGGCGUAAAGCGCGUGUAGGCGGUUUCUUAAGUCUGAUGUGAAAGCCCUGGGCUCAACCCAGGAAGUGCAUUGGAUACUGGGAGACUUGAAUACGGGAGAGGGUAGUGGAAUUCCUAGUGUAGGAGUGAAAUCCGUAGAUAUUAGGAGGAACACCGGUGGCGAAGGCGGCUACCUGGACCGAUAUUGACGCUGAGACGCGAAAGCGUGGGGAGCAAACAGG